rnacentral:rRNA from 1 species
UGGGGAAUAUUGCACAAUGGGCGCAAGCCUGAUGCAGCCAUGCCGCGUGUGUGAAGAAGGCCUUCGGGUUGUAAAGCACUUUCAGCGAGGAGGAAGGUGGUGAACUUAAUACGUUCAUCAAUUGACGUUACUCGCAGAAGAAGCACCGGCUAACUCCGUGCCAGCAGCCGCGGUAAUACGGAGGGUGCAAGCGUUGAUCGGAAUUACUGGGCGUAAAGCGCACGCAGGCGGUUUGUUAAGUCAGAUGUGAAAUCCCCGGGCUCAACCUGGGAACUGCAUUUGAAACUGGCAAGCUAGAGUCUCGUAGAGGGGGGUAGAAUUCCAGGUGUAGCGGUGAAAUGCGUAGAGAUCUGGAGGAAUACCGGUGGCGAAGGCGGCCCCCUGGACGAAGACUGACGCUCAGGUGCGAAAGCGUGGGGAGCAAACAGGAUUAGAUACCCUGGUAGUCCACGCUGUAAACGAUGUCGAUUUUGGAGGUUGUGCCCUUGAGGCGUGGCUUCCGGAGCUAACGCGUUAAAUCGACCGCCUGGGGAGUACGGCC